rnacentral:rRNA from 5 species
UGGUGGGUAGUUUGACUGGGGCGGUCUCCUCCUAAAGAGUAACGGAGGAGCACGAAGGUUGGCUAAUCCUGGUCGGACAUCAGGAGGUUAGUGCAAUGGCAUAAGCCAGCUUGACUGCGAGCGUGACGGCGCGAGCAGGUGCGAAAGCAGGUCAUAGUGAUCCGGUGGUUCUGAAUGGAAGGGCCAUCGCUCAACGGAUAAAAGGUACUCCGGGGAUAACAGGCUGAUACCGCCCAAGAGUUCAUAUCGACGGCGGUGUUUGGCACCUCGAUGUCGGCUCAUCACAUCCUGGGGCUGAAGUAGGUCCCAAGGGUAUGGCUGUUCGCCAUUUAAAGUGGUACGCGAGCUGGGUUUAGAACGUCGUGAGACAGUUCGGUCCCUAUCUGCCGUGGGCGCUGGAGAACUGAGGGGGGCUGCUCCUAGUACGAGAGGACCGGAGUGGACGCAUCACUGGUGUUCGGGUUGUCAUGCCAAUGGCACUGCCCGGUAGCUAAAUGCGGAAGAGAUAAGU